GGGUCGGGGGAGGGGGGUGGAGGCAGCCGGGCCCGCUCGCUCCGCCCCAUUGACAACCCGACUUCUGAUUUUAUGGGGUCAGGUAGAAUUGGAAGCCAUAAAGCCAAAGAGGAGGCGCCCCUUUUAUGAGGUCGGAACUGUUUGCCUGGGGAGCUGGUUUCUUCCACGGAAAUCGGGAAUGGUGUGGCCGGCCUCGCUCCGGCUCUGGCUGCAGAGCUUGAACCACACGGGGGCGUUCCGAGUCCGAGGAGCGCGCCGGACGAAAGUCGUGUCGAGCUCGGUGCCCGAUCACCUCCUGGCUUGCUAGAACUGCUUUGUCCAUUAAAAAAAUCAAGGUGAGACGAGGACAAAAAAAAAUGUGAGUUCAUUCUAAAUCACGCGCAAACCUGACCCCUGGAAUAAGGUGGUGCGGGAAUCGAGCUUUCUCAGUGCUAUAGAAUAAUAAGCUCAUUGUCGGCGUCUUACAUCAUCUCAUUUAAUUCGCGCGGCAGACUGAUGAAAUAUUUCCCCCUGGUUGCGGAUAAAGCCGAACAGCCUGAGGUCGUGUGGCUAAUAAAGAGCAAAGGUGGAAUUUGGAAGUCUGGUAACCCAACCCCACUGCUGAGGGCUUUAACCCGUGAAGCUGUACAGUCCGUUGGGGAAAGGGCUUGGAAAGCUUAAAAGAGAAUCAGCGAGGACAUUUCCCCUGAGUGAGUGACCCCUGAACCAAAGCCUAGGUGAUGAUGAGUUAAUCAAGUUGAAGACGUGGGCAAAAGAUCUGUCCAGACUAGUUGUAGAACAAGUCAUUUGAUAAGUUUGGAGUGUAGCCUCCAGGGGAGAAUACUAGAAAAUGCCAGAAAACUAGGAGGCUAAACAACUGAGGCCUUGUAGUUUGGACUUUAUCCCCAAGGCGGAGGAUCCACCCAUGAGAAACCUUCAGAAGGGGGAGAUGAGGACCUGGGAAGUCCUAAAGACAGAGAAACACACCCAGCCACUGCUCUCCAGCAACUGCAGUCGCGUAAUAGGCAUGGUGCAGACCUGUGGUUCCUACCAGUUACUGUAUUUGAAUGUUCUAGGGUCGGAAGACAUUCUAAAAACUGGACACUUCAUCCAUAGGCAGGUAGGAUCUCCAAGGAAAGAUCCUGCCUGAGGUGCCUCCUAACUGAGCUUUGAAGAAAGAAUGGGAAUAAGCCGGUGGGUAUUCCGAGCAGAGCGGCUGCGGUGGUGAUCAGGAGAGGGGGCACUUCGGGGCACUGUAAGUGGCCCUCCUUGGCUUGUCGGAGUGGCAGGGAUGGGGGAAGAUAAGAAAUGUCAUGACAAGUAGGCAUGUGCACAUGGAGAUGCAUGUGUAUAAUCCCAGCACACAGGAAGCUGAGGCAGGAGGCUCCUAAGUGUGAGGCCAGCCUGGACUACAAAGACCCUGUCUCAAAAAUUUAAAAAAAAAAUUAAAAAGAGGCAGCAGCUUCUCUGAAAAGCCUUGUGUGCUUCGUGGAUGACUUUGGACACGACAAUUUUAAAAAAUGGGAACUUGGGGGCCGGUGAAAUGGCUGAUCGGGCAGUCACUUGCUGCCAAACCUGACCACGUGAGUUCCAUCCUUGGAACCUGCAUGGUGGAAGGGGAGAACUGGCUCUUGCAUGUUGUCCUCUGACCUCUGCAUGCAUUAAUUAGUUAAUUAAUUAAUUAAAGAAGAAAAGCGGGAGCUUCUGAGGAACUUAAUUUAGGAGUGACAAUUAGUUUUCUAUAUCCAUUAUCUCUAAUUUUUCCGGACAGGCUUAUGAACUCGGGAUCUACAUUUUGUAGAUGGUAAUCCUGAAACUCAGAGAGGUGAACGCUUUGAUCAAGUUCCCACGGCCAAUUAGGGAUAGAAGCAGGGCUCCUACCAGCCUUUGAACAAAGGUCAGUGAUCUGUGCACAGUGUCCCUGCCCUCCAAACUGGAAACUCCUCCCAGGUCUACACUGUUCCAGGUCCUUCUUCACCACAGAUGGAGCCCUGUGCCCUUCUGCCUUCCAAGCUUUUGCCUCAUAGAUGAAUCCAGUGGGCCAUGAUGAUACCUGCACCAAGCUUUCGUCUUCAUCCACAUAACGCUCCACGGUGGCUGUUCCUGCUCUAGUGAUGUCCACUCACCUGGCCUUGGUCUCCACAUUGAGGGAAGAGAGCAAGAACGUUGAACCCAACAGUGUUAGCAGAAUGUUUCUGGGGAAGUCUUGUUUCUGGGCUUGCUUGCCUCUGGCCCGUUCCCCAUGACCUCACAGGAGGCACUGUCCUCUGCAAGCCCUUCAUGGGGGUGGGGGUUGGGUUGGCUGAAUGCCUAGCAAGCUAUAGGCACUAUAUUUAAUCCUCAGCCAUGCAAAAAAUACUUUAAAUUAAAAUUGCUUAAUUGCUACCACUGGAAUUAGUAAGUAAGGGGCUGGGGAGAAAAGCCUGAGAAUCGGAGUUAAGACCCCCCCAGCACCCAUGUAAAUGUUGAGUAUCAUGGUGGUCUGCCUGGAAUCCCCACCCUUCGGGGGCAGGGGAUGCCCAAGGCAAGCUGCUAGCUAAGAUUCCUCAAAUCAAGUGAGCUCUGGGUUCAGAUAGAGACUCUUCUUCAGUAAAUAAAAUGGAGAACAAUGGAAGAAGACAUUGGAGUUUAAUCUCUGGCCUCUUUAUGUAGCAAUUUUCUCAGGGAUUGAAACAUUCUACCUGCAGAGACACUUCUUAAGACAGGAAGUAAAUAAUUCUAAACAACUUCAGGAAGUUCCUGAAACCAACCAGAUUUGCCUGGCCUUUUUCCCUAAGACUAUAUAAGUGACUCCUGAGAGUUGCUCUCAGAGCCAAGCUACGAAGAGGCUUCUCAAAGCCCAGCUUCCUGGAAGAGGCUCAGACUGACUGAGCCACUUGGAAAAGAUGCAUUCCAACCUGUUGAGCUGCCUGCAGGCUAUGCAGUGUGCUCCAGGUUUCCAGCUUUUGUGAGCUGUCACCAUGCUAGAGUGGAUUUGAGUGAUGUAGCUGUCUUUGAGUCAUUUCUGUUCCUGUAAGUUAUAAUCCCACCUCCAUAGCCCUAUAAAUAACCCCAGUGGAACUCACUGGUUCAUCACGUUGUACUUUGGUGUAGCCUACAUGGGACUGUACUCCCUUUCUAGGGUGAAUAGGUGUGUGUGUGUUUGUCUUCCCAGGAAAAGUCUGUCAUGUAAUACCUCUACAUAUGCAUGUGCACUUGUGCACACACACUUAAUACACAAACCAAACACACACACACAGAGCGUAGAAUUUGUCAAUGGGAAACUGGUGGGAGACAAAACACAAGGAGAAAUGGAGGCCACUCCACAGGGAUUUAGCAGAGCUUCAGGUUCCACUGGUGACCUGAGCUCUAACACCUGCCUCCUGGAGGAGGGGAAUGUUCAAAGCCCUGAACCCUGGCUCCAAAAACCAACCCCUCCCUUUGUCCUUCCCGUUCCUGGCUCCUGUAUAGUCCAUGAACUAUUACCACUGGUAAUUUCUGAGUUGCCUCCACUGCCCCGUUAGCUCCCCAACUCUUCCACCACUGAUGCAAGCCUUGCAAGGACAUUUGAAGGACUGUACAUUUAAGUAGGGUGAGAGGAAAGGCUGUCAGAAGGAGCUAUUUGAGCAGAGGUGUGACCUGUUUGACCAGGAUUUCUCUGGCUGCUCUUUUGAAAAUGUAGUUGACUGCGGACACACAACAAGGAGAAGCCGAGCGAAGUAAUUGCUCAAAACAGAGUCAAACCCAGGCCACAGUGAGCUCCUAUGGCAGUCACAGGAUUCGAGGUUUCUCAGUUUUUUUUUUUAAUUUGUUCUGUGAUAUGUGUCAUAUUUCUCUCCAAACCUACAGCACCCCACCUAAAACAGUAGACAUAAAAGACAUUAUUUUGA